GGGCGGCUAGCUCAGCGGUUCAGAGCGCUCGCCUCACACGCGAGAGGUCGAGAGUUCAAAUCUCCCGCCGCCCA
rnacentral:tRNA from 1 species